rnacentral:rRNA from 1 species
AUGUGGGAUCGAGGAGGAGCUCUGUUAUUUGGCAAUGUGGACAUUCCAGUUGCACCCUUGGAGUGUUUCCAAUCAGUCCAGUCAGAGCUCGAAUGGUUGUCUGAUCUGAAUUGCGUCAAGAUAGAAGUGAAGACAAGAGGAGUACAACCACUUGUUGAAGUGAUAGCACUAAACUCAGCACUUGGAGGAAUUGCGAAAGGGUGGCCAUGUAAUCACUCUGUGCAGCCAGCCACUGAAAAUUUUGGGGCCUCUCCUUGGCGUAUGUGUUAUGGUCCUGGAAGUUCUUUGCAAGUGAACACUACUUAUUUAGCCCAGUUUUUGUCUCCUUGGACUAACCUAUAG